rnacentral:lncRNA from 1 species
GGUUUAGGGUUUAAAGGGUGCAGCACAUAUUGCUUGGGCCUCAAGAGAAGGGUCAAAGCCUAAUUAAUUUCUGAAAAGGCUUUACACAAUCCAAAUCCAAUAAGAAAAAGGCUAACACAUUCAGAAUCCAAAGGGGAAAAGGGAUAGGAAGUUGCAGCAGACUUGAAGGGAAAAGGGAGUGGAUUGCAAGGUAAGGAAAAUGCCUUCUAGAAAGGGUAGAGGCGCCACUUUUCUAGGGAAUCCAGAAACAAUGUGUUUUGUGGCAGAAAUUGGGACUUCUAGAAACAUUUGGGGUGCCACUUUUGUAGGGAAUUCUAGAAACAAUGUUAUGUGGCUGAUUUCUAGAAGAACAAGGCCUAAAAACAUGCAGAAUCAAUGUAGGAACAGAUAAGGCCUUCUAGAAAGGUUUCUAGGUGAUUUAAAUCAGAAAUUAACUCCCCCUUGCAGCAGGAAUUAAGUUAGGAAAAGAUUAGGAUAUGAUAGGAUAAGAUAAGGUUAGUUACAGUUUGGAUAAGAUAAGGCAGUUUGGAUAAGGUUUGGAUAAUGUUCCUUCUUUCUUGCUGAUUCCUUAUCUUCCAAAUCUUGAAAUAAUUUUUCCAGAUUUGUAGCACAUUCCUAGCCUCAUUUAAGCACCAAAAACGUCCAUCCAACUUGCUUCAUAUGCAUGCAAUCCAUUUCAGCCAAAAACUGCACCAAAAUGCACUUUCUUGCCAACUUUGCCAUUAGGACCUACAAACACACGAAAAUAGCUUAAAACACUAUAAUAAGCAUAAACUAAUUAAGUAAAUGCCAGAAAACAUGCUAACUAAGUCACAUAAAUAUGCUCCUAUCAGAUCCAAUUCCGAGCAUAACACAUGCUAUGCGACAUGGACUUGAGAUUAUUUAUAUUUGACCUACAAUGAAUAUCCAUUCAUCCAGUAAAUUGGUAUCGCACA